CCCGCAUUUGUUUCCGGCGGUAAAUCUAUAUUUGGCUAAUCGAACCGACGCUACUGCACACCGCGCCGUUUCCGCUGAUUUUUCGGAAGCCGCGACCAAAAGAUCGCCGUUUCGACCUUUCACGCUUUCUGUCUUCCGUUAGUCAACAAACUUUUUCAACGUCACGUCGUUAUGAUCGAUUGUGACAGAAUUAAGGUUAUGUUUUACUUUUGUCGUUGUGGAACGUAUUAGUAACAUACAAGAGAGAUUUUAUAUAUUUUUUAGAUUACUCUGGUAUUUGGCAAAUUUUGUUAAAGACUAGGAUUAACGAAAGGUGUUUAAUGGAGACAGAAACAUUAGGAACUGCGGUAAUGAAUAUUUUCAAUGUAAAUUGCUUGAAUGCCUGAGAUUAUUCUUUAUGUGUAAUCUCGAGAGACGUGUAAUCCCCGUGGAAUCGGUAACUGAGCCGCUCUUACGGUCGAUGCACAAACUAGAUCGACGAUACUUAAACGGUAAAGUAUCCUAAUCCUCGUGAAAUGCGCAGAGGCUAAUGAUCACAUGCAGCCUGCAGUGUACAUCACAAUAAACUGGAUAUGGACAAAUAAUGCCUUCAUUGACAGCUUUUCACUAACUGUUCCUAGCAGUUCUUUAAGGUAUAUAUACAUAUCAUAAAUCAACAGCAAAAUUAAAUUAACUACUAUAAAACGUUUGUCGUAAUAAUCGAUUCUUUCUUUUAAAUGUUUACAUAAAAUUCGUCCAUGUAUUUUACGAUGAUUUGUAUGCCUGUUUCCUAAUUGCGUAAGAAGUUACUAUUCCAACGUUUAGAGGUAAUACAAUGUCAGGAAUAAGUGAGAACACAACGAUACAGCGUAACUUGUAAAUAGACAGUGGUGACAAAAAGGAUAUUUUAAAAGGAAAAUUCCUGACACAGACAUAAGAUCGCGAGACAUUGGUCGUCGUGGGACAAGCUACACCGCGGACGGUUACGUCGGUUUACGGCUGUUUUAACGAGCGCUGUUGCACGCGACUCAGCACUAAACCAGCCUUACAAAACGCAACCACACUAGUUUAACGUUUUACGGUCGAAUUUAUUAUCUGUUACCUCCUUAUAUGACGGUACAAUAACAAUAAUUGUCAGUUUUAAUUCGAUCGUAAAUCAACGGAAAAGAAUUUGCACCGUUUCACACGGACCACACGACGAGGAAUAUCGGGCCAUCUGUCGUCACUUUACUGAAAUACUUUCUGCUCGCGAAACUUUCGGUGCUGCUUGACCGUGUCAGCCAUUGUUUGGUGUUAACGCCAAGUGAUCGUAGAUGGUGCUAGUAGCGUUCAAAAUGCCGUUCACUGGUAUUACCCGCAUUUUACGAUUCAUCUUAUACCUCUGUUACUGCAUUUUAUGUUAUUUCUUGCUCUUACUUUUGCUCCGAUUGUUGUCAUCCCGUAAAGAUACAAUUUCGUUUCUUGGGAUGGAUAAAACAAUUGUAUUCAUAUUUCUUUUAAUCAUUUGUUUCCCAAUAUUGCAAACAUUUAUUUACUUAAUAGACAUUUGAAAGAGGUUGUGUUCAUGGAUUUCAAAAUUCGUGGUCUUAGAAAAUGGGGAUUAAUAUUGGUAUAUGUAGGUUUAUUAUCAAAUAUUUCUUUUUAUAGAUAAUGUUAUAAUUUUAUAAAUACGUAUGUACGUACUUUGUUGUAUAUGUACGCGCAUUCAUAAUUUGCUUCCCUCCAUUUAUCUUUCAAGAAUCGUUGGCGUUACUAUCCGUCGAUUAGAUUCUUAAUGUAUCGCGUCUAGUUUGAGAUUUCAUUUGUGAGGUGGCGCCACAGUAUGCUGCGGUACAUAGUGAUUUUUUAAUUUCCACUGUUUAGAAUUCUAGUAACACUACGGUCUAAUCGAUGUCCAAUAAAAUUUCCAAUUCCGACAUUCAAAACUAAUAGUUUCCUUCGUAUCGUUUAAAAAUCAAUUUCUCGAUAACACGUAGUCUCAACAAUUUUAUCUUAUUCGUUCGUUAUAUCAUCUUCUAACUUAUUCGUCAUGUCGGGUUGGUAACUAAGUGAAGGCGGAUUUUAUCAAUACCACCUAAUGACAAAAUCCCCAAUCACUUGGUUGCCAACACAAUAUUUAUGCUUAUUGCACGUAUUAAAUACCACUUAUACGUAAUAGAAAACUAAUUUAUCGUCUAUCGCAUAGCUAGAUCCAUCGAUCAAACAACGAUCAUCGAACAAACAUAAAGUGUCUGGUAAAAUAGAGAACAGUAAAUGUAGAAGACCGUAAGCGUGACAGAUGUCGGAAGGCGCGAAAAGUUAAUCCAGUUCAAUGGGCUCUUUUGAUUUUUACGAGCGGCGAAGUAAGUGGGGUCUCGUGCCGUUUUCAUCAACACAAAAUCAACGAUGUUUCUAUGGGUAGCGGCACUGAAAAGACGAAACGAGUCAAACGUAUCUGGCAAUGUCAUCAGUUACAUUUAUGAGGCCGUCAAGGAUAAAGUGAGCACCUUGAGGUUGCAUCAUCGUCACUUUAAAUCCCGUUUACCCGCUCGUAAAAGUCUUUGACGACUUUGCCGGAGAGCUGCCGGUACAGCACGGCCAACUUGCCUGCCAUAAACUCAGAAAAGGAACUUCCCCUGUUUCCCCACUUCUGCUCAUCGGUGUUUGUCUGGAUACCUAGGUGAAAAAGGGCUAAACGUUUACUUAUCCGCUUGCCGAUAAUCGUCCCUCGUUAUUCCGAUUGAAGUAACAAUGCGAAUGCUGAAAACUGAUGAACUGUUUGUGGUUAUAGCACACUAUAGUUUACUAUGUUUCUUAUUAUGGCAUCUUCUACUGCGACACUUUAGAUGGCUUAAUCUACGGUUAGAUACGUUUGAUGGAGGUUAGGUUGGGUUGAUUAUCUUUUUAGGGAAUUUUUCAAGAGGAAGCUAUAACGUGAAAAAUAAUUCUAUUGCGAAAUACUUUUUAACCCUUCGCACUGGGAAUUUUAUUUCAAUUUCGUUACCAGCAGCUGUCAACGCCUUUAAGUGUUUUAUUUGAAAUUUACUUUAAGUAAAAAAUAAGACAAUUUAAAUAAAUAAAGGAGGAAACAAAUUCACUUUACAACUUGUCCAGCUGGACAUUUGGUAAAUUUUGCCAACUUAAUUGCCAAAUAACACGUGGAUGACUACCCCCAGCAAGAUACCAUCUUCAGGAUGCAAUUCUGCUUUUAUUUCGCACGUUUCUAGAAAAAAGCCGCGACUGAAAGAAUGUCGAGUGGGUCUCGACAAAGCUCCUCGGAUAAAAACUGAUGUCGAGUCAUACUCGACAUGGCAGUGCAAAGGCGUAGACAACGAGGGAUGAUUACUUGUAAGAGGAAAUUCUGCCAUCAAAGUUCUCAAGAAACAUUUCCAUUCUUCAUCCAAUAAAAUCCCAGUUAAUAAUUGCUCGCUGUUAUUUAAAGCUACACUUCCAUUCUUCUGGAAACAUUUAAUCAAAGCGUAGAUGACAAAGGAUGAUUAUUUGUAAGAGGAAAUUCCGCCAUCAAAGUUCUCAAGAAACAUUUCUAUUUUUCACCCAAUGAACCUACCAAUAGAAUCGCAAUUAAUAAUUGCUCGAUGUUGUUUACGAUUAUUAAACAAUAUUUUAAGCUGUCGUUUAUACGGAAAUAGUUGUCCUAGAAACCAAAAGUUCUUUUAACAAUGAGUACACGAUCGUGCGCUUUACAACCUCAACUAAUGCCAUUCGACUAUCUACGGUAACACGGUGUUCGUUACGGGCUCAGCAAACUCGUUCAUGAAUUGGAAAUGUUCUACAGUGGUAGCGAAAGAAGUCAUAAAACGAAUAAAACCGCUGUGUAUCGGAAUAUCAUCGUAUCAGCACCGCAGCCACACGUAUGCUACCCGGUACACACUGUAUAAGUCAACAAAAACAUUUUCUACCUUUAUAUUUGAUCGUUCGGCCGGUCGCCAAACCUUUUGUUAUUGCGUUUUUCAUCGUUAUCUUUUUCGAAAAAAAAAAAAAGGAACCGAGGAACAAAACAAAUUUUGUAACGUGACUACGUAGAUACAAUUUUUAUUUCGGAACACAGACGUUCGAAUGUUACUCUCCGUACAUUUUUCUGUAUAAAAAUUACACCUGAAAGAGAGCGAUUUUUAUAUUUAGUUUAAAACGAUUGCUCCGAGAUAAUUUGAUUAAAAUUGUCGCAUAUCUUUCACGUAUACAGAUAUUGCGAAAAUACAAAAAAUAUUGCGCUUAGUUGCCAAUCGUAGAUCAUCAAACGGUAGAUGCUUGUUGAAUUUGCAUUGAAAAAUGACUAACUGACGAUACAAGAGACGUUCGAAUGCAGAAGAUUUAAUACGUUUGCUCAGUGUUAGAGCUCAUUGUUACGUUUCAUUGUACGAUCUCUUAGACGAACAGAAACACUUUCCUGCCAAACAACAGAUUAUUUUCAACAAUACAUUGUGAUGUUUCCCGUUGGCGCUAUAAAAUAAUAUUUCACAAAAGGCGACUGUAACGUUGCUCGAUCAACGUGACAGCUUCAUUGGCAUUAAGCCGCGUUUACAUCAACCGUAUUACGAGCUGUUUAUUAGGCACGGUAGAGACGUAUCCAUAGUAAUAGUCGGAUCGAUUGUUGGAACUUUCCCACAGGAGAUAGCCGUGAAGUAGGGAAACUCUGACCUGACACAGGGCUGUCACCCUUCGGCAAACGAGUCGACGUAUCAGCUUUCUCCGCGCCAGUAUAUUCGCAACACUGUGUCGCCAUAGUAAAUCUUAGAUCUGACGUUUGGUAGAUGACACGCUCAGGAUUUUCUUUUCGCCCCUUAAGAAGAGCGAAGAGGAGAGGUCCGUGAAACGUUGCGUGGCGCGUUAUUAAGGUCAGCCACCUGCCGCUCGAUGGAGCUCACUUCAGGGAUGAACACUAUUAUACCCCUCUGUGCUAUAGAUAUAGGUAACGGUGAACGUAAAGCAAAAAGAAAAAAAGAAAAGAAAAAAGGGGAAAGAAAGGUAGGAAAAAAAAAUUGGAAGAAAAGAAAGAGGAAAAGGACGAAGAAUAAGUGGAAGAGGGAUGCAGCGACGGCGGAUGGGGUGAACAAAGAAAAUAAGAGAUGCGAAACGACGACGCGGCGGAGAUGGUACAGGAAGAGGCGAAGAUGAAGCGAGACGGAACGACGAGGAAGGAGAGAAGACAAGCGGCUGGCCUCGGGACCGACGAAGAUGCAAGAGUCCCGGGACUCCUGCAGCCAGAGAAGAGAAUAAAGGAAAAGCGAGAAAAAUGUGUCUAACGUGGCAGAGGCAAUUCUUCAGCCAGAGUUGCCGCCUUAAUGCUCGUUGGAGAAAGGCGAUUGGUUCUCGAGAAGAGCCCGUGGGAAAGAUGGCCGCCAUUUCCCUCCAACCACCCGUGCAAGUGUCCCCCCCUCUUCCACCUACUCAUCUGCUCUCUGUUCCUCUUCCGUUGUCCGUGGCGGCGACCUACGGAAAGAAACCCCGUUCGUGGAAUAAAGGGGGAGAAACACGCUCGAAGACUCUUAUUCUUAUUAACUGUUUAAUCUUUCCACGUGACGUACGGCAGGCAUUAAGCCGCGCGCGGAUCUUGUUUAUAUUUCGUUGGAGCGCCACGAGGAUGCCGCAUCUUCGUUACACUGAAUUCAAGCAAAAGAUGUUUGGGUGGAAAAGUCUUUCGAGAUAAACGUAGAAACAAUUACCCUGGAGGUAACAUUUUUGAACUACCUCGAGAUACUUCUGGUCAAAGAAUGAAAAUGAAAUAGUUGGAUUAGAACAGAUUGUAGGAUAGACGUGCAAACAAUUACCCUGGAGAUAACAUUUUUGAGCUACCUCGAGAUACUUCUGGUCAGAGAAUGAAAAUAAAAUAGUUGGAUGAGAACAGAUUGUAGGUAUGUUUAAUAAAACAUUAAAAGAAAUAUUUAUUGCACAGUUUGGGUGGGAAAAUCUUUCAGGAUAGAGAUACAAACAAUUACCCUGGAGAUAACAUUUUUGAGCUACCUCGAGAUACUUCUGGUCAGAGAAUGAAAAUAAAAUAGUUGGAUGAGAACAGAUUGUAGGAUAGACGUACAAACAAUUACCCUAGAGGUAACACUUUUGAGCAACCUUGAAAUACUUCUGGUCAAAGAAUGAAAAUAAAAUAGUUGGAUGAGAACAGAUUGUAGG